rnacentral:rRNA from 1 species
AUGCGGAUCCAGUUGCAGAUGAAGCUGGAACAUGGUCGAUGGGAUAGAGCAUGUAAAAUAUGUUUAGAAGACUGCUCAGGCUAUUCCCUUGGAGCAGAUGUUGUGGUUCCCUUGGCCGUUGACCCCAAGGAUGGGAGAAUCAUGCUGAACACAGGGAGGAAAUUGGGUCUUUAUGAUCCAACGAAGCAAUCGGUUGAGAACUUGUAUGAUCUUGAUGAGGUCUUGCGUGUCACAAGUUCAGAGCAGUCUCCACGCGUUGGAGUGUACGAAGAUGUCCAAAUGACCAAAUGCGGACAUCAUGUCGAGAAGUUCUGUUUGCCGAAGUCACCUUUGGAGCAGCCCACGUUUUUCGAUGAGCCUUCGCCUAAAUUAUCUGGGAAGCAAUUUACGUGCUCCAAUGGCGUUCAACCUUUGGAGGGGAGAACUCCUCUGGACAGUAAAGUUAUGCCUCUGGUCCCAAUGUUAUACGAGGAGAGCUUGGCAAGCUUUCCCCGUGUUUGCAAAACAAGGUGGUUAAGCUGA